rnacentral:rRNA from 1 species
AACGAACGCUGGCGGCAGGCCUAACACAUGCAAGUCGAGCGAGGACUUCGGUCCUAGCGGCGGACGGGUGAGUAACGCGUGGGAACGUGCCCUUUGCUUCGGAAUAGCCCUGGGAAACUGGGAGUAAUACCGGAUGAGCCCUUUGGGGGAAAGAUUUAUCGGCGAAGGAUCGGCCCGCGUUGGAUUAGGUAGUUGGUGGGGUAAUGGCCUACCAAGCCGACGAUCCAUAGCUGGUUUGAGAGGAUGAUCAGCCACACUGGGACUGAGACACGGCCCAGACUCCUACGGGAGGCAGCGGUGGGGAAUCUUAGACAAUGGGGGAAACCCUGAUCUAGCCAUGCCGCGUGAGCGAUGAAGGCCUUAGGGUUGUAAAGCUCUUUCAGCUGGGAAGAUAAUGACGGUACCAGCAGAAGAAGCCCCGGCUAACUCCGUG